rfam:Ictidomys tridecemlineatus contig111557, whole genome shotgun sequence.
AGGGUUGUGGCUCAGUGGUAGAGCACUUGCCUAGCAAGUGUGAGGCCCUGGGUUCGAUCCUCAGCACCACAU